CAUUUUGGUCCUAUUGUAAUGCCUAGCACAAACUUUUUAAAUUAUUAUAAUCAAGUCACACAACCUAAUUUAGCUAAUUUAGCUGGAUAAAUAUUGAUGUAGGAGUAAUAUAGGAUCUUAAUUAUUAUCACAUCCUCAAUCACAAUAUUUUUAUAUCACUUCUAUUUUAGUAAUUCGUCAACAUUCAUCUGGCUAAAUUGGAUUAUGAGAUUUAAUUACAACAAUUCACAAAGAUCAAGCCAGAAAUUAUAACAAAUUAACUUUUGAGGACCAAAGUAUCACUCUCCUCAUAGUUUGAGAAUCAAAAAGUAAUUUACCCAAGAAACUUUAUAUUGUGAAUUUUGGGUAAAUUACACUUUUGGUCCUCAAACUAUUAGAUGCAUAACAUUUUAGUCCUCAAAAUUUAAUCUGUUAUAAUUUUUGUUCAAAUUUUCUGAAUUGUUGUAAUUAAGUCUCACAAUCCAAUUUAACUAACUAAUAUAGAUAUGCUGUUAAUGUAAAUGUGAUGUAGUAGUAUUGUGAUUGAUGAUGCGACAAUAAUUAAAAUGCUAUAUCACUGUCACAUCAACAAUUCAUCAAUAUUUAGCUAAAUAAAUUAGGUCGCAAGAUUUAAUUGUAAUAAUUAAGCCAUAAUUGCCAAAAAUUU
rnacentral:lncRNA from 1 species